rnacentral:rRNA from 1 species
AUUGAACGCUGGCGGCAGGCCUAACACAUGCAAGUCGAGCGGAUGAAGGGAGCUUGCUCCUGGAUUCAGCGGCGGACGGGUGAGUAAUGCCUAGGAAUCUGCCUGGUAGUGGGGGAUAACGUCCGGAAACGGGCGCUAAUACCGCAUACGUCCUGAGGGAGAAAGUGGGGGAUCUUCGGACCUCACGCUAUCAGAUGAGCCUAGGUCGGAUUAGCUAGUUGGUGGGGUAAAGGCCUACCAAGGCGACGAUCCGUAACUGGUCUGAGAGGAUGAGCAGUCACCCUGGAACUGAGACACGGUCCACACUCCUACGGGAGGCCGCAGUGCGGACUAUUGGACAAUGGGCGAAAGCCUGAUCCAGCCAUGCCGCGUGUGUGAAGAAGGUCUUCGGAUUGUAGAGCACUUUAAGUUGGGAGGAAGGGAAGUAAGUUAAUACCUUGCUGUUUUGACGUUACCAACAGAAUAAGCACCGGCUAACUUCGUG